rnacentral:rRNA from 1 species
UACGUAGGGUGCAAGCGUUAUCCGGAAUUAUUGGGCGUAAAGAGCUCGUAGGCGGUUUGUCGCGUCUGCUGUGAAAACUGGAGGCUCAACCUCCAGCCUGCAGUGGGUACGGGCAGACUAGAGUGCGGUAGGGGAGAUUGGAAUUCCUGGUGUAGCGGUGAAAUGCGCAGAUAUCAGGAGGAACACCGGUGGCGAAGGCGGUUCUCUGGCGAUUACCUGACGCUGAGGAGCGAAAGCGUGGGGAGCAAACAGG